rnacentral:lncRNA from 1 species
GAGUUUUGUAAAGAAAACACAACCUCAACAAGCAAUGAUACUUUCUAUUGGCCAAAUACAAAAAUAGGAACUGAUGUGACGAUCCCAUGUCAUGCAAAUGUAGCAACGAGACACUGGUUCGUUUCUAUUGUUUUAUGUCUUCUCAAAUUUGAACUUUCCAUUGUUAUUACGUUACUUAGCCCGUCGGUAACGCCAUUAUGUGAUUAGAUAAAAAGAAUGAGAAAGAAAAAAUGGGGAGAAAUUAAAGAGAGAAAAAGAGGGAUAGUGAAAAAGAAAGAGAGCAUCGUCCAUGAUGCAAUUGUAAGGCUUUCAUGUGAAUAUUUGAAUUGUAUGAGAGACCAGGACGGAGAAAGAAAAAGGAGAAAGUAAAGAUGGAGAAAGAAGCUUUGAUGACAUAUGGUAGAGUGAACCUAAUAUUAAUUACGUAGUUAUAAAAGUUAGUUGAAAGUAGAGAAGAGUUGAAAAUAUAAUUUCAGCAAAGCGCUGAUGUUUUGAUGGUGAGAUUAAAGAAAUUCAGUGAGAGAGGAGGGAGAGGAGGGAGAAAGGGGAGAAAAGAGCAGGGAGAGAUGUUAAUGGAGGUGGCUGUGGGAGUGAAUAGUGAAGAUGUUAUUUUUUGUAUUUGAAAUAAGUAUUUUAUAUCAGCUAUCACCGUGACAUUUUGACCUUUAUAUUCCUGGCAGAUAUAUGCAAUUUAACUAAAGUUCGUAUGUGCGGGAUAUUUUUUUAUUUAUUUGUGAGGAAAAUGGCAAAAUAAGAGUGAAUAUAUAUUUUAUGUGUGUUGUGUAUUAAGCCCGUAUCAUUCUGCAUAAAGUAUAUAAUGUAUGUAUAUAUAAAGUGUAUUAAUCCUCGUAUUUCAAUAUCUUUCACUUUUCAAUGAACAUCAGAUGAGCGAUUAUCAUUUGACACACACACAAGCUACGCUUUCAGGAUUUUUCGAUUAAGUUUUCAAAAAUAAGUCAUUAAGUUUACCGUUAAUUCCUUGAAAUAUUCAUUGGUCCCGCUUGUAGUAUAUAAAAUACUUAGAGAGAUUAAGAUAAAACUAAUGCCCAUUAGUUCAAAUCAUUUAACACUGAUAUUUAAAUUUUUCCACAAUGACAUGAUUCUUCCUUGAACGCACUACCAAGAAAACCAAUUUUUGUAAAGAUUCCUGUAGGUGCCAGAAUGUUAAAAAAGUUAGAUCUAGACUCAACCAAUAGCAUUUAUCACUUAUUCUAUUGAUUUCAGAGUAACGUUAUUUAUUCAAUUGGUUAUUAUAUGAUGGUAAACGAAGAACGCAGGUCAUUGUGGGACCUCCCCUAUCAUAUUUAACAUUUAUAUUUAACGUUAUUCCAUGUGCUAAGCAUCUAAAGUGUUAUUGUUGAGGUCUGAGUUUUAUAAGUUUAAGACAAAGAUGGAAGUUGUCAAAUCUGUUCAUGUAGAAGAUAUACGUAAAUCUACUAUGGAUGAUGAUGACGACGAAAUAUAAAUAGGUGAUUUCACCACUCACUUAAGACUAGCAGCAUCUUGCCUUAGUACUUCAUUCACCAUAUUAGUCCAUCCUAACUUGAAUUUUAAAAGUCGCAACAAAAUAUAACGAAUAAAAGCAGAUUUGGCAAUAUUUUUUAAAUCUAACUUUUAGUAAGAAGAUAUUUUACAUUGGUUUUGAUUAUGAAAUGGUGGAGUAAAUAAUAGAUUACUGACAAAAUACAUCACAGUAUUUAACUUUGUUUCACUAGGUUAUGAGUUCAAAUCACGAUAAGGUCAAUGUUUUUCUCACUUUCCUCUGGCAUCGAUGAAAUAUAUAUGCUUAUUUAUAUAACGGACAAUAUUUGAUAUUUAUCUUUCAGUUCCUCCGGAAAUGUGGCACAACUAGAAAUGCCAACAAAUCAGUAUGGCACAUCACGAAAAUGUUCACCAUUCACUGGCGUCUGGCAAGAACCAGACAUGUCUCAAUGUUAC